rnacentral:rRNA from 1 species
UACGGAGGGUGCAAGCGUUGUCCGGAAUCACUGGGCGUAAAGGGCGCGUAGGCGGCUCAUGAAGGCUGUGGUGAAAGUCCGGGCGUCAACCUCGGAUCGGCCGUGGCGACUCGUGGGCUGGAGCACUGUAGAGGCGGGUGGAAUUCCGGGUGUAGUGGUGGAAUGCGUAGAGAUCCGGAAGAACACCAGUGGCGAAGGCGGCCCGCUGGGCAGUGGCUGACGCUGAGGCGCGACAGCGUGGGGAGCAAACAGG